AUAGGACUUCUUCUUUUCUACCAAGAUCGAUAGAUCCCAUCUAGGUGUAUCCUACUCUAAAUAAUGAACCUAAACCUACUGAAGCCAACAUACACAGCAAGGACUUAAAUGGCUAGGGAUCAAGGGAAUGUGCAGUUAAACCCAAUAGCCUCGUUGUGAAUAGUCAAUGAUAUUGCAGGUCAAAGGAUCACUCACACCACUGC
rnacentral:lncRNA from 1 species